UACGUAGGGUCCGAGCGUUGUCCGGAGUUACUGGGCGUAAAGCGCGCGCAGGCGGCGGUGCUGGCCCGGCGUGAAAGCCCCGGCUCAACCGGGGAGAGUCGUCGGGGACCGCACCGCUUGAGGGCGGUAGGGGCUGGUGGAAUGCCUGGUGUAGUGGUGAAAUGCGUAGAGAUCAGGCAGAACACCUGGGGCGAAGGCGGCCAGCUGGGCCGUCCCUGACGCUGAGGCGCGAAGGCGUGGGGAGCGAACGGG
rnacentral:rRNA from 1 species